rnacentral:rRNA from 1 species
AUGGGAGCCCGCAGCCAGCUUUGGUCGAUCGCCAAGAUGUCGGUCACCGGGGGUGUAAUCGGCGUCACCAUUUCCGACCGCUACGUCACCGUGGUCGCGAUAAAGGGUCAUUCGAUGCAUCCCACCAUGACGGCCACCGACAGCGCCUUGCGAGGUGACAUCGUGUUAGCGGAGAAGGCCUGCCUCGACCAGUACAAAUUCUCUCGUGGCGAUGUGAUUUUGUUCAAAUGCCCUAGUAAUCAUAAGGAAGUGUUCGUGAAGAGACUGAUUGGCUUACCUGGUGAGUGGAUACAGCUCCCCGCGUCUUCUGAGAUAAUUAAGGUCCCACAGGGGCAUUGCUGGGUUGAAGGGGAUAAUGCUGCUAGAAGCUGGGAUUCGAGGUCAUUUGGUCCACUUUGUACCAGAAAUAUGUGGAGACUUGCAGUCAACAGUUCUAAGAAUUGGCAUCAAGUGGUAUUGAAUAACCUGGCAAGCUUCCUGGAGUAUGUCCAUUUCAUAUCCCUUUAG